AACGAACGCUGGCGGCAUGCCUAACACAUCCAAGUCGAACGAGACCUUCGGGUCUAGUGGCGCAGGGUUGCGUAACGCGUGGGAACCUGCCCUUAGGUUCGGAAUAACUCCCCGAAAGGGGUGCUAAUACCGGAUAAUUUCUUCGGACCAAAGAUUUAUCGCCUUUGGAUGGGCCCGCGUUGGAUUAGCUAGUUGGUAGGGUAAAAGCCUACCAAGGCGACGAUCCAUAGCUGGUCUGAGAGGAUGAUCAGCCACACUGGGACUGAGACACGGCCCAGACUCCUACGGGAGGCAGCAGUGGGGAAUAUUGGACAAUGGGCGAAAGCCUGAUCCAGCAAUGCCGCGUGAGUGAUGAAGGCCUUAGGGUUGUAAAGCUCUUUUACCCGGGAUGAUAAUGACAGUACCGGGAGAAUAAGCUCCGGCUAACUCCGUG
rnacentral:rRNA from 1 species